GCCCGGGUAGCUCAGAAGGUAGAGCGUCCGGCUGUUAACCGGAAGGUCCCAGGUUCGAGUCCUGGCCCGGGCG
rnacentral:tRNA from 1 species